rnacentral:rRNA from 1 species
AGUGAACGCUGGCGGUAGGCCUAACACAUGCAAGUCGAACGGCAGCACAGUAAGAGCUUGCUCUUACGGGUGGCGAGUGGCGGACGGGUGAGGAAUACAUCGGAAUCUACUUUUUCGUGGGGGAUAACGUAGGGAAACUUACGCUAAUACCGCAUACGACCUACGGGUGAAAGCAGGGGAUCUUCGGACCUUGCGCGAUUGAAUGAGCCGAUGUCGGAUUAGCUAGUUGGCGGGGUAAAGGCCCACCAAGGCGACGAUCCGUAGCUGGUCUGAGAGGAUGAUCAGUCACACUGGAACUGAGACACGGUCCAGACUCCUACGGGAGGCAGCAGUGGGGAAUAUUGGACAAUGGGCGCAAGCCUGAUCCAGCCAUACCGCGUGGGUGAAGAAGACCUUCGGGUUGUAAAGCCCUUUUGUUGGGAAAGAAAAGCAGCAGGUUAAUACCCCGCUGUUCUGACGGUACCCAAAGAAUAAGCACCGGCUAACUUCGUG